ACACUCCAGUCAUCACCCACCGGUCCGGGCAAUGCCNGGACCGGUGUGGCCUCCCAGUCCGCAGCCGGCAAUUGCCGCGGACUGGGAGGGCCUCGCC
rnacentral:misc_RNA from 1 species